rfam:Schistosoma haematobium scaffold2543_1, whole genome shotgun sequence.
UUACUCGUUUCGGCGGUACAUAUACUAAAAUUGGAACGAUACAGAGAUUAGCAUGGUCCCUGCUCAAGGAUGACACGCAAAAUCGUUUAGUUGCGCUUAGUUUU